rnacentral:rRNA from 1 species
AGAACGAACGCUGGCGGCAUGCCUAACACAUGCAAGUCGGACGCUCAUGAGGGUUUCGGCCCUUGUGGGAGUGGCGGACGGGUGAGUAGCGCGUGGGAACCUGCCUUGGAGUGGGGGAUAACCGAGGGAAACUUCGGCUAAUACCGCAUACGCCCCGGCGCGAGCCGGGGGAAAGAUUGAUCGCUCCAAGAGGGGCCCGCGUCGGAUUAGGUAGUUGGUGGGGUAACGGCCUACCAAGCCUGUGAUCCGUAGC